rnacentral:rRNA from 1 species
UACGUAGGCAGCAAGCGUUGUUCGGAGUUACUGGGCGUAAAGGGUGUGUAGGCGGUUGCUUAAGUUUGGUGUGAAAUCUCCCGGCUCAACUGGGAGGGUGCGCCGAAUACUGAGUGACUAGAGUGCGGGAAAGGAAAGUGGAAUUCCUGGUGUAGCGGUGAAAUGCGUAGAUAUCAGGAGGAACACCGGUGGUGUAGACGGCUUUCUGGACCGUAACUGACGCUGAGACACGAAAGCGUGGGUAGCAAACAGG